rnacentral:misc_RNA from 1 species
GCUUCGUCAACUCCUUUGAUUACUCCACUCCAUCAUCAACGAUGCACCCUCCCAGCGCUACCUUUUCCCUUCCUUAACUCCCACGUGUCCCCUGUGUUACUAGUAUUCCAUUUGGACGGCUAAUGAAGAAUGAGAAGCGCGAGAUCUGUUGCAGAGGAUAAUGGAAAAAAGAAGUGGAAUUGUUUAAGGAAAGAAGAUCUUCCUCUUUAUUUAUUUUUGUCAGCUUCAAGGCUUGCUACUGAUAAUGUGAUCGCUUACGCGAAGGAAGACUUUGAAGAGGGAGAGAGUCAGUGAACAUGGCGACGGUGCAGUUGGUGAGAGAGAGUGAGGUGGCGGAGACGCUGGAGACGAGUCCAAGGAGUCCUGAGGCCAAACUCGGAAUGAAAGUGGAGGAUUUAUGGGAUGUGCAGGAGCCGCAGUUGAGUCCAACUGAGAAGCUUAACGCUUGCUUCGAGAGUAUCCCUGUUUCUGCCUUCCCUUCUGGAACUUCAUCUCAAGUGGUCGAAAUCAAAUCA